GAAAGUCAAAUGCAUGUUGGUCUGCCAGGGGCAGCUCCUCCCAGAGUCCUCCCUAAAUAACUUGCCAGCCAAGGACUUAAAACUGGUUAAAGAAGGGAUACCGUGGGAACCGUUGCUCUUCAUAGCUGCGGAGUCUUCAGCUUAAAAAGCUGCCCUCCCCGGGGACCGCGCGCUACGUCACAUCCCAAAUGCCGGUCUGCGUGUUUGCUGCGGUUUGUGCUGCAGCCAAAAGCAGCGUGCUUGCCUCUGCUUCGUGUGGGGACCUGCGAAGCCUCCCUGUUCUGUGGCUCCUGGACCACGGCUUGGAGUCACAGGAGGUGCCCACCAUCCCAGCCCUCGCCCUUACAAGCAGCUCCUCCGUCUGCAGAAGGAAGUUGCUUGAGGCUGGAGUCUAUUUACGCUGAAGACAAACGUCAAGGCGGGGAGCCUUCAGACAAGUUUGAUGGCAGUAGCAGUUUGCGUGGUCCGUGUAGGAAGCUAUCUAUAGCAACUGGGAAGCCACAGAGAGCACAUGCUAUCACCACUCUGCAGGACGCACUCUGUCUGGCCUUAUACAGGGAGUUAUAUAUAGACCCAUAUACAAAAAUAUAGAAGAGCCCCGUGGUUGUGUUGGAAAGCCUCACCCAGACACAGCUCCAGCAGAAUCCUGUCUUUGGCCCCAGCCAGGGAGCUGCAUAUUUCAGAAGGAUGCUGGGCAGCCAGCACCGCCUGGGGACAGCUGAUCCGUACGGCACAAGUGUACAGGCUGGAGUCCUUCUAAAACUUACGAUGUCCUCUAAAGUAUCUUUGUGCUAUUUAUAGAAACAUCCCCUCCCCCAUUCCCAUCUAUGCACCUUGCAGAUCAGCACUACGUUAAACGGUCCCACCAGAAAAAUUCUAAUCCUUAAUUUCAGAGUUUGCAGGUUGGAGGGGGGAGAGGGUGGAUUAAAAAAAUUACAGUGUGGAAGUAUAACCAAAGAACUGCAAAAAACAGUCCAGGAGGGUCUUUUGGGGUUGCUUUUGGGCUACCAAACUGCCCCAAGGCAGGGUCAGCUGUCCCUAUGUUUUUUCCUGACAAUUGUUAGUGUAACCUGGUGUGAAAGAGCACCCCUGGCGAAAGCUCCUGGGGGAGCGGGGGCAGCAGGUUCGCUCAGCGUGAUGCUCCUCCACAACAGGUCUGAAGUUAAAGGAGGCUUUAAUGGUACAUACAAUAAGCAGUACAAAGGCUGGGUUCGAGAUUUAAAUGUAAUUUUGUGAAGUGAGCCUAUUUUUGUAAGGCGUAGUCAUAAUUUAAAGAAGGUUGCUAAAUGAAGACUCCUGGACAGCAUACCAGCAAAUAAAUAUAGCUCAGUGCUUAGGGAAACCUUUAAAAUACCCUAAGGCAGCUUGUAAUUUCAACAGCAGUCCUGCCUAUUUAGCUUUCUAGGCAGGAUAAGCACCACUCCUUUCCCAAAGCACUCAGGGUGGGUGACAAACAACAGAAAGCUGGGCCUUGGCUUCUAUUCUGUCAUUUUCACGUCAAAUUGCCCUUUUGCGGAUUCCCCAUAAAAGGAUAAGGCGGGAUCCUCCCUCCCAGGGUGAGGAAGAGCCUCUGAUAGACGUGCUGUAGGAGAAGGGACACGGGGAGAGGUCUGGAUGGAAACCCCGGGGUGGCUCUUGCAGAAAUAGCUUCAUGAAGGCUUCCGUGCUCGCUCUGAUGAGUGCUUCAACUCAGACUGCAAGCAUACGAGGUGGUUGGUUUAACUGGUGUACAGAGGAGCUCCCGGUCCUCAUACCAGAGCCUGGUUAUCAUCACUGUUGCACGUCAGCACAGAAGCCACCUUUACGCAUCUACAUGACUAAGUGGAAGUCUGUCAAAACACAGACUUCCACAUGCCUAUCUCCCUCCUUUCAUUUGUGAGUUUAACAUAAACAACCUAAUCUGGCAAGCUGGAAGCUCUUUCCUCACCACAAACAUUUCCCCUCCUGUGCACAUUUUGAAAUUCUCGAAGCGAGAGGUUGCAGAUUGUUCUCACACGGAGUUUCUAUUCCCUGAUGAACCUCCCUUUUAUUGAGAGGCAGGACUGCUUCCUUCCUUGGGAUCCUGCUCGUUCUCUAGUGAUAAUGGCCACUUCUGUCCAGUCCCAAACCCAAGUACAGACCUUGUACCUACAGAUGGACAUUUUAAAGGAUAUCCUCGCACUGCAAGUUACCAAACAAGGCACUGCUUCAGUGCCUCUAAACCAAACCAGUAGUGCGGGGUUUGCUGCCUUUAGUGGGUUCUUCUUGAAAACCUUUGGAGGUUGUCAUUUUCUGUGCCUUUGAGAAGAUGCUGUGUGGGCAGUUCUUCACCCAGGAGAUCUGACUGGCUUGCAAAAAAACCCACCCCACAACAGCUACAGCUCAC